CGUGGGAAAGGGGACAGAAUAAAUGAAAAUCACAUAUUCAGUUGUGCCCUAUAGUUUUAGUCCAAGAAUUCCUUAAUCGAAGAUGAUUUUAAGAUUAAAAAAACUACUUUGUCGUCUUACACAAUGGCCAUAUAUCAGGGGUUUCGGAACUACCAGACUAAUUCGACAUGCUAAGGCCAAAUCAAGCCACCAUAUUUUCUGUUUCUCAACCAAUCUAGGCGCGGCCAGGGCAAACAACAGUAUGAGCCACCAUGGCUGGAGGGACUUCUACACACUCGUAGAUGCAGUGUCUUGAAAUGGUGACGUUGGCAAAGCAGGAGGACCCAGAUGCUAAAUCGUCGCAUUGCAUGACCUUCCCUUCCAUGACCAGAACUCAACACUUUGCGAGUUCCUUUCAAUUUGCUGAGUUUUUUGUUUUGGACACUCGGCAAAGAAGCUCUUUGCCAAGUGCCAAAUAAAAAACACUCGGCA
rnacentral:lncRNA from 1 species